CUCUUUCAAAAAAAAAAAUAUAAUAAUAAAAUGUAAAAAAAGAGGGAGGAGCCGCAUGAGAUGAAGAGAGAGUUCACAGAGCUAGCACUUACCUUCUGUUUUUGCAGAGGUAUAUUUGGCUGUUGUGUGAGACAUUC
rnacentral:snoRNA from 1 species